rnacentral:misc_RNA from 1 species
AGCGAUAGCAUCGACAUCAAAAGCAGCAGCAGCAGCACUAGCAGCGGUAGUGAUUGAAAGAAAAUAAAGACAUAUUUUGCAAUUGGGUUUUCGGCGUUAUAAUAUAAAUAAUAGAUGUUUUCUAUAUGGUUUAAAUUAAUCUGAAAGAUUUUGAAGUGUGUUUACAGUAUUGUGUGCGGUAUUACAAAAUUUUGCAGCACGUUUUUCAUAUGAAAAAACUGUUAGGGUGGUAGUCCGUACGAAAUACGACGGCAAUCAGGCAUCCAGCUGAAGUACCACCAUCCAUUUGCGAACGUCAGAGUAGUAGUAGAAACGUAAAGUUAUAUCGAAGGUUUUUUCGUGUCCAGAGCUUUAUUUGACUUGUAUUUAAAGUGGUGAUAGUUUCUUGAAUAAAGCAAACAGUAAUAGUAGGGCUGUAAAUACCGCCGUCACCAUUAGCGCCGCUGGUGCAGAGCGGAGAGCGAACUAUGAGCGCCGCUAAAAAAUACAAACUUAUGGACACAAAUGACCAAUUGCAGGAUACUGAGAAUUACACAAGCAAUCGUUUAAGAAAACAAGGGGACAGUCAUUUUUAUAGUCCCUCCACGUCGGCUCGUUGCGCUUUGGGACAAAAUUUGAAUCAACCUUCGGCAACGUCAACUUCACAACUACCGUUCAACAUGAACAAUAGUAAUAGCAAUUAUGGCAUCGGUAACAAUACCAAUGGUGAAAGACGUGCCAAUUUUUCGAUGUUAGAUGGGGCACAUAUGAACGAUCACCGUUCAGCCACAACUACCUCAGCGUACUUCAAUAAGAUGGGCGCAAAUAAUGCCUCAAAACCGGGAGAUGUUAAAAAAAUUGUAAUAAAAAACUUCAAGGUGAAACCUACACUGCCGGACAAUUAUUCGGAACAUACAUGUGAAAAAUUGCAGGAAGCAGUUGUUGCAAUUCAACAAUCAAAGCCAAUUAGGUACUCAUUGGAAGAACUUUAUCAAGCUGUAGAAAAUAUGUGCAGCCAUAGGAUGGACGCGCAGUUAUAUGGAAAACUUAGAGAACUUACUGAAGCUCAUGUGAAACGUAAUGUCGAAUCCUUUACAGGGGGAAGCAUGGACAAAUUGGUAUUCUUAAAAAAGAUAAAUGGUUGGUGGCUGUCGUUUUGUCAGCAAAUGAUUAUGAUGCGCAGUAUAUUUUUAUAUUUGGAUCGGACAUAUGUUUUACAGAAUCCUACCGUACAUUCAAUUUGGGACAUGGGUCUGGAUCUUUUUCGUACUCAUAUAGCCAUGAACGAUCAAGUGCAAAAACGUACGGUGGAAGGUAUACUUAUGUUAAUCGAAAAAGAGCGAACAGGCGAUGCGAUAGAUAGGGGAUUGCUGAAGAGCCUUGUUCGAAUGUUAUGUGAUUUACAAAUUUAUAUUAGUGCUUUCGAAGAUAAAUUCCUGAUUGCAACAAAACAAUUAUACCAAGCCGAGGGACAACGUAAAAUGCAAGAACUUGAUGUGCCCGAAUAUCUGCGCCAUGUCGACAAAAGAUUAGCCGAGGAAAACGAACGUCUUUUGCACUAUUUAGACUCUAGUACUAAAUAUCCAUUGAUUUAUACUGUAGAAAAGGAGUUACUUGCUGAACACCUCACACACAUCUUACAGAAAGGUCUGGACACACUGCUGGAAGAGAAUAGACUGAGUGAUCUCACGCUCUUGUACAGCCUUUUAAGCCGAGUCAAAAACGGUACCGCCGAACUGUGUGGCAACUUCAAUGGCUUCAUUAAGAAAAAAGGACGCACUAUUGUCAUUGAUCCAGAAAAGGAUAAAAGUAUGGUGCAGGAUUUAUUGGACUUUAAAGACAAAAUGGAUGUGAUUGUGCGCAAUUGUUUUGAACACAAUGAAAAAUUUACAAAUUCCUUGCGAGAGGCUUUUGAGUUCUUCAUAAAUCAACGCGCCAAUAAACCAGCCGAAUUAAUAGCCAAAUAUGUGGAUAUGAAGCUGCGUGCUGGAAAUAAAGAAGCCACCGAAGAAGAGUUGGAACAGAUACUUGAUAAAAUCAUGGUGCUAUUUCGAUUUAUUCACGGCAAAGAUGUAUUCGAGGCAUUUUAUAAGAAGGAUUUGGCCAAACGCUUACUUGUGGGAAAGUCUGCAUCGGUGGAUGCGGAAAAGAGUAUGUUGUCCAAAUUGAAGCAAGAGUGUGGUGGAGGAUUCACUUCAAAAUUGGAAGGCAUGUUCAAGGAUAUGGAACUAAGCCGAGAUAUUAAUAUUGCUUUUAAGCAAUAUGUCGCAAAUAUGGAUCGUGAAAUAACAAGUAUGGAUUUGACUGUCAAUAUUCUUACCAUGGGCUACUGGCCUACAUACCCGCUAACAGAAGUCACUAUGCCACCACAACUUGUGAAGCCGCAACAAGUUUUCAAUAAAUUUUACUUGGCUAAGCACAGUGGUAGAAAGCUGCAAUGGCAACCUACACUAGGCAAUUGUGUGCUCAAAGCUCAAUUUGAUGCGGGGCCUAAAGAAUUGUUGGUUUCAUUGUUUCAAGGACUUGUGCUGUUACUGUUCAACGACAAAAACGCAUUAAGUUUCGAGGAAAUCGUUGCUGCUACAAAUAUUGAGGAUGGCGAGCUACGUAGAACAUUACAGUCGUUAGCCUGCGGACGCGCGCGUGUUAUUACUAAAACACCAAAAGGUCGUGAGGUUGAGAAUAAAGAUUUGUUCCAGUAUAAUAACGAAUUUACCAAUAAAUUGUUCCGUAUCAAAAUUAAUCAAAUUCAAAUGAAAGAAACGACGGAGGAGCAAAAAGCUACAGAGGAGCGUGUAUUCCAAGAUCGACAGUACCAAAUUGAUGCAGCCAUUGUGAGGAUAAUGAAAAUGCGUAAAACGCUUAGUCAUAACUUACUAAUCGGCGAACUUUUCAAUCAACUUACGUUUCCCGUUAAGCCUGCUGAUUUGAAGAAACGGAUUGAAUCACUUAUAGAUCGCGAUUACAUGGAGCGCGAUAAAGAUAAUCAAAAUCAAUAUAAUUACGUUGCAUAAAUUAUAAUUUAUAAGGCUACUUACAGCAGUUGGAAACGUUCAGAAGCACGCCCAUUUUCCAUGAUGUCCAUUUUACGAUUCCAACCUCUUUGUUUACGUAUAGUGGAAGCAUCUCCGUCUCCGGCCUAAAUGAAUUCAACAUAACAACAAUUUUCAAUCGAGCUAGGUGUGCAACAAAGUUCUAUGCUCUAGCUUAGUUUGGAUCUGUGCGUAAGGACUGAUUUGCACAAUAUACGAAUAUGCAGAAAAGAACCAGAAGUUAAACCCCAAGAAACAGUGUCCGUUCGACGUAUAAAUAAUUGAAUUGCAAACAUAUAUCAUAUUCGUUUAUAACUUCUGGCAUAAUGCAACUGUGUUUAAUAUAAAUAUCGAUUAAAAUUAAGUAAUUUCUUAUGUAUGUUCCCAGAUAGACACAUGUAUACACCUGUUGCUAUUGGCUUCUCUUGAAAUCUAACUUUAGUGCAGUGCAGAGAAGUUGUAAUUAUACAAACGACAUGCUAGAAAAUUUGCGAAAAAAGAUAUUUUUUAACAUUUUGAAUGUGAAAUAAGUGGGGGGGAAGUAAGUAGAUGCUUAUGCGUAGAUAUGUUUAGUGUUAAAUGAGUUAAUAUAAUUCGAAUGAACGCGAUGGUUGGCGAAACAAAAACUUGUUCUCUUUUUAUAAUUUAAAUCGUAGUGUAUUACAUAUAAUAAUAAAUACGAAGAAAAAACUAUA